CGGACGGGUGAGUAAUGCUUGGGAAUAUGCCAAUGGGUGGGGGACAACAGUUGGAAACGACUGCUAAUACCGCAUAAUGUCUUCGGACCAAAGGAGGGGCUCUUCGGACCUUUCGCCUAUUGAUUAGCCCAAGUGGGAUUAGCUAGUUGGUAAGGUAAUGGCUUACCAAGGCAUCGAUCCCUAGCUGGUCUUAGAGGAUGACCAGCCACACUGGAACUGAGACACGGUCCAGACUCCUACGGGAGGCAGCAGUGGGGAAUAUUGCACAAUGGGGGAAACCCUGAUGCAGCCAUGCCGCGUGUGUGAAGAAGGCUUUCGGGUUGUAAAGCACUUUCAGUUGUGAGGAAAGGGUGUUACUUAAUACGUAACAUCUGUGACGUUAACAACAGAAGAAGCACCGGCUAACUCCGUGCCAGCAGCCGCGGUAAUACGGAGGGUGCGAGCGUUAAUCGGAAUUACUGGGCGUAAAGCGCGCGUAGGUGGUUAAUUAAGUCAGAUGUGAAAGCCCAGGGCUCAACCUUGGAACUGCAUUUGAUACUGGUUAACUAGAGUUUUGUAGAGGGUGGUAGAAUUUCAGGUGUAGCGGUGAAAUGCGUAGAGAUCUGAAGGAAUACCAGUGGCGAAGGCGGCCACCUGGACAGUAACUGACACUGAGGCGCGAAGGCGUGGGGAGCAAACGGGAUUAGAUACCCCGGUAGU
rnacentral:rRNA from 1 species